rnacentral:rRNA from 1 species
CCUACGGGAGGCAGCAGUGGGGGACAUUGCACAAUGGGGGGAACCCUGAUGCAGCGACGCCGCGUGGGUGAAGAAGCGCCUCGGCGCGUAAAGCCCUGUCAGCAGGGAAGAAAAUGACGGUACCUGAAGAAGAAGCCCCGGCUAACUACGUGCCAGCAGCCGCGGUAAUACGUAGGGGGCAAGCGUUAUCCGGAUUUACUGGGUGGAAAGGGGGCGCAGACGGCGAUGCAAGCCAGGAGUGAAAGCCCGGGGCCCAACCCCGGGACUGCUCUUGGAACUGCGUGGCUGGAGUGCAGGAGGGGCAGGCGGAAUUCCUGGUGUAGCGGUGAAAUGCGUAGAUAUCAGGAGGAACACCGGUGGCGAAGGCGGCCUGCUGGACUGCAACUGACGUUGAGGCCCGAAAGCGUGGGGAGCAAACAGGAUUAGAUACCCUAGUAGUC